GCUGGAAUAGCUCUGUUGGUAUAGUAUCGGACUCUUAAUCUCAGGGUUGUGGGUUUGAGACCCACGUUGGGCA